rnacentral:rRNA from 1 species
GAUGAACGCUGGCGGCGUGCCUAAUACAUGCAAGUCGAGCGAACAGACGAGGAGCUUGCUCCUUUGACGUUAGCGGCGGACGGGUGAGUAACACGUAGGUAACCUACCUAUAAGGCUGGGAUAACUUCGGGAAACCGGAGCUAAUACCGGAUAAUAUUUCGAACCGCAUGGUUCGAUAGUGAAAGAUGGCUUUGCUAUCACUUAUAGAUGGACCUGCGCCGUAUUAGCUAGUUGGUAAGGUAACGGCUUACCAAGGCAACGAUACGUAGCCGACCUGAGAGGGUGAUCGGCCACACUGGAACUGAGACACGGUCCAGACUCCUACGGGAGGCAGCAGUAGGGAAUCUUCCGCAAUGGGCGAAAGCCUGACGGAGCAACGCCGCGUGAGUGAUGAAGGUCUUCGGAUCGUAAAACUCUGUUAUUAGGGAAGAACAAACGUGUAAGUAACUGUGCACGUCUUGACGGUACCUAAUCAGAAAGCCACGGCUAACUACGUG